rnacentral:rRNA from 1 species
UACGAAGGGUGCAAGCGUUACUCGGAAUUACUGGGCGUAAAGCGUGCGUAGGUGGUUUGUUAAGUCUGAUGUGAAAGCCCUGGGCUCAACCUGGGAAUGGCAUUGGAUACUGGCGAGCUAGAGUGCGGUAGAGGGUAGUGGAAUUCCCGGUGUAGCAGUGAAAUGCGCAGAUAUCAGGAAGAACACCCGUGGCGAAAGCGGCUCUCUGGAACGGUACUGACGCUGAGACGCGAAAGCGUGGGGAGCGAACAGG